GAGAAUAUGCAGUAGAAGAUGUAAGUAAAAGAUUUCCAGGCAUAUAGAACAGACUUGAAAUUCGGAACAUAAAAAUAUUACAGUCAUAACAUUAAGAAUUUGGAUCACACUUUGAAUCUAACUUUUGACUUAUUUAUUCAUUCACGAGUUUUGUGUAGAAAUGAAAGUUAGGCCGUUAUGCAGUGAUUGCAUGUGGAUCAUCUUGAUCAGGUCGACUCCGUAGCACCAUGGAUAGAGGAUUGUUCCAUUUCAUUGUGCAAUCGAUUAGGCCCACUUGGAGUAACUCUAAGCAUGCGAACGGCACGUGAUAAUUUUGUAACACGAAGAGAAGAAGUUGAAGUCACAUCUGCAUUCACCACCAUUGUUGCAAAGAGUGUUGUCACCAGAAUAGCUACUAAAAUUACCACUACAAAAGGCUUUGUUCUAAUUGCCAUCUCUCUCAGUCUGACACACUAUAUAUG
rnacentral:lncRNA from 1 species